ACUUUCUUAGUAUAUCACGUAUAUUUGACUUCCAAUCAAAAGGACUAAAACAAACAUUUAGAGAAAGUA
rnacentral:tRNA from 1 species